rnacentral:rRNA from 1 species
GGACAACCUACCCUAAGGUGGGGGAUAACCCCGGGAAACUGGGGAUAAUACCCCAUAGACUAGAGAAGCUGGAAUGCUCUCAAGUUCAAAGGUCCGCCGCCUUAGGAUGGGUCUGCGGUCGAUUAGGUUGUUGUUGGGGUAACGGCCCAACAAGCCCGUGAUCGAUACGGGUUGUGAGAGCAAGAGCCCGGAGAUGGAUUCUGAGACACGAAUCCAGGCCCUACGGGGCGCAGCAGGCGCGAAAACUUUACAAUGCGGGAAACCGUGAUAAGGGAACCCCGAGUGCCCGUAAAUUCGGGCUGUCCAUCAGCGUAAAUAACUGGUGAAGAAAGGCCGGGCAAGACCGGUGCCAGCCGCCGCGGUAAUACCGGCGGCUCGAGUGGUGGCCACUAUUAUUGGGCUUAAAGCGUCCGUAGCUUGGUUGUUAAGUCUCUUGGGAAAUCUACCGGCUCAACCGGUAGGCGUUCAGGAGAUACUGGCAAUCUAGGGACCGGGAGAGGUGAGAGGUACUCCAGGGGUAGGAGUGAAAUCCUGUAAUCCUUGGGGGACCACCUGUGGCGAAGGCGUCUCACUAGAACGGCUCCGACAGUGAGGGACGAAAGCUGGGGGAGCAAACCGGAUUAGAUACCCGGGUAGUCCCAGCUGUAAACGAUGCGCGUUAGGUGUAUCGGUGACCACGAGUCACCGAGGUGCCGAAGGGAAACCGUGAAACGUGCCGCCUGGGAAGUACGGUCGCAAGGCUGAAACUUAA